CUGCCCGGUAGCUAAAUGCGGAAGAGAUAAGUGCUGAAAGCAUCUAAGCACGAAACUUGCCCCGAGAUGAGUUCUCCCUGAGACUUUAAGUCUCCUGAAGGAACGUUAAAGACGAUGACGUUGAUAGGCCGGGUGUGUAAGCGCAGCGAUGCGUUGAGCUAACCGGUACUAAUGAACCGUGAGGCUUAACCUUACAACGCCGAAG
rnacentral:rRNA from 1 species